CCCUUUGAUACUCUGGGCGGCACGCGCGCUACACUGGUUUAUAUAACGUGUAAUUUGGACGAUAGUCUGUAUAAAUCACUAAUAUAAAACCGUGAAUGGGAUAGUUUAUUGCAACUUACAAACUUUAACUAGGAAUCCCUUGUAGAAGUAGUGAAUUAUACUGCUUCGAAUACGUCCCUGCCGAUUGUACACACCGCCCGUCGUUUCUUCAGACUGGUACUCAUUGUGAAUUGCGAGGAGAUUCUGUCAAAUCGUUGUAAAUGCUGGGUAUUGGAGGAAGAAAAAGUCGUAACA
rnacentral:rRNA from 1 species